GUCAUUCUAUGGACCUGUCUAGCAAGGUAGAUGCAUUGUCCCAUAAGAUUGACCAACUGAUGAUAGGUGGGCAUUUUAUUAACUCUUCCCAAGCACAAGUGUGUACUAUCUGUUCUAGCCCAUCCCACCCUAUUCAUGAGUGCCCCUCAGCGCCCCAAUUCCCCGAACUCAUGCAAGAACACAUCAAUGCUGCUCAAACACA
rnacentral:lncRNA from 1 species